rnacentral:rRNA from 1 species
UACGUAGGGUGCAAGCGUUGUCCGGAAUUAUUGGGCGUAAAGAGCUCGUAGGCGGUCUGUCGCGUCGGCUGUGAAAACCCGAGGCUCAACCUCGGGCCUGCAGUCGAUACGGGCAAACUAGAGUACUGCAGGGGAGACUGGAAUUCCUGGUGUAGCGGUGAGAUGCGCAGAUAUCAGGAGGAACACCGGUGGCGAAGGCGGGUCUCUGGGCAGUAACUGACGCUGAGGAGCGAAAGCGUGGGGAGCGAACAGG